AAAAAAGGUAAGCUACUAAGAGCAAAUGGUGGAUGCCUUGGCUAGUAGAGGCGAUGAAAGACGUGCUAGGCUGCGAUAAGUCUCGGGGAGCCGUCAAGGGGCUUUGAUCCGGGAAUUUCUGAAUGGGGCAACCCAGUAUAUAGUGAUAUAUACUACCGCAAUGCGGAGCGAACGUUGGGAAUUGAAACAUCUUAGUACCAACAGGAAAAGAAAUCAAACGAGAUUACGCUAGUAGCGGCGAGCGAAAGCGUAAGAGGGCAAACCACUAGCUUGCUAGUGGGGUUGUAGGACUGCAAUAUAGACUUAAACAAUCUAAUAGAAUAAGCUGGAAAGCUUAAGCAUAGAGGGUGAUACUCCCGUAUAUGAAAGUGCGUUUAUACUUAGCAGUAUCCUGAGUAGGGCGGGACACGUGUAAUCCUGUCUGAAGCUGGGUAGACCACUAUCCAACCCUAAAUACUACUACUAGACCGAUAGUGCACAAGUACCGUGAGGGAAAGGUGAAAAGAACUGAGGUGAUCAGAGUGAAAUAGAACCUGAAACCAUUUGCUUACAAUCAUUCAGAGCCCUAUGAUUUAUCAGGGUGAUGGACUGCCUUUUGCAUAAUGAGCCUGCGAGUUGUGGUGUCUGGCAAGGUUAAGGAAACCCGGAGCCGUAGCGAAAGCGAGUCUUAAUAGGGCGUAUAGUCAGAUGCUGCAGACCCGAAACGAUGUGAUCUAUCCAUGAGCAGGUUGAAACCGGUGUAAGAGCCGGUGGAGGACCGAACAGACGGCCGUUGAAAAGGCUCCUGAUGACUUGUGGAUAGGGGUGAAAGGCCAAUCAAACAUCGUGAUAGCUGGUUCUCUCCGAAAUAUAUUUAGGUAUAGCGUUGUGUAGUAACUUUGUGAGGUAGAGCACUGAAUGGGCUAGGGCAUACACCAAUGUACCAAACCCUAUCAAACUCCGAAUGCGCAAAGUGUAAUCACAGCAGUCAGGCGGCGAGUGAUAAAAUCCGUCGUCAAGAGGGGAACAACCCAGACUAACAGCUAAGGUCCCUAAAUCUCAUUUAAGUGGAAAACGAUGUGAAGUUACUUUAACAACCAGGAGGUUGGCUUAGAAGCAGCCAUCCUUUAAAGAAAGCGUAAUAGCUCACUGGUCUAGUGAUUUCGCGCGGAAAAUAUAACGGGGCUAAAAUGAGUACCGAAGCUUUAGA
rnacentral:rRNA from 1 species